AUUCUUUGAACGCAAGUUGCGCCCGAAGCCAUUCGGCCGAGGGCACGCCUGCCUGGGUGUCGUGAAUGCCCUUGCCCCUAGGCACCCCGCAUGAGCAUUGGCGGGGAUUAUAUGCUCGGGCGCAGAAUAUGGUCUCCCGUGGGAUCGGCAUGCACGGCAUGUCGAGGUGCGGUUGGCCGAAAAUUGAGCAUGGCGGUGACGGGCACCACGGCGGUCGGUGGAUCGAAUGAGAUUGGCUCCGCCGUGGGCUCGGCAUGCGGCGGGCUCCGGACUUUGAAUAUCCCCGAGUGCGAUCCCAGGUCAGGCGGGGCUACCCGCUGAGUUUAAGCAUAUCAAUAAGCGGAGGAAAAGAAACUAACGAGGAUUCCCUUAGUAGCGGCGAGCGAACCGGGAAGAGCCCAGCGUGAAAAUCGUCCGUCAUCGGCGGCCGAAUUGUAGUCUGGAGAAGCGUCCUCAGUGACGGACCGGACCCAAGUUCACUGGAAGG
rnacentral:rRNA from 1 species